AGAGUUUUGNNNNNNGCUCAGGACGAACGCUGGCGGCGUGCCUAAUACAUGCAAGUCGAACGAACUCUGGUAUUGAUUGGUGCUUGCAUCAUGAUUUACAUUUGAGUGAGUGGCGAACUGGUGAGUAACACGUGGGNNNNCNGCCCAGAAGCGGGGGAUAACACCUGGAAACAGAUGCUAAUACCGCAUAACAACUUGGACCGCAUGGUCCGAGUUUGAAAGAUGGCUUCGGCUAUCACUUUUGGAUGGUCCCGCGGCGUAUUAGCUAGAUGGUGAGGUAACGGCCCACCAUGGCAAUGAUACGUAGCCGACCUGAGAGGGUAAUCGGCCACAUUGGGACUGAGACACGGCCCAAACUCCUACGGGAGGCAGCAGUAGGGAAUCUUCCACAAUGGACGAAAGUCUGAUGGAGCAACGCCGCGUGAGUGAAGAAGGGUUUCGGCUCGUAAAACUCUGUUGUUAAAGAAGAACAUAUCUGAGAGUAACUGUUCAGGUAUUGACGGUAUUUAACCAGAAAGCCACGGCUAACUACGUGCCAGCAGCCGCGGUAAUACGUAGGUGGCAAGCGUUGUCCGGAUUUAUUGGGCGUAAAGCGAGCGCAGGCGGUUUUUUAAGUCUGAUGUGAAAGCCUUCGGCUCAACCGAAGAAGUGCAUCGGAAACUGGGAAACUUGAGUGCAGAAGAGGACAGUGGAACUCCAUGUGUAGCGGUGAAAUGCGUAGAUAUAUGGAAGAACACCAGUGGCGAAGGCGGCUGUCUGGUCUGUAACUGACGCUGAGCUCG
rnacentral:rRNA from 2 species